CGUCGAAACCCAUUAAUGGCGGGCCUUGUUGAAGACCCCCAUUCUUCACAAUUUUUGGCAGGCUAACUGGAGUUAGCCUU
rfam:Globodera pallida, Lindley, WGS project CBXT01000000 data, contig: pathogens_Gpal_scaffold_449_contig_7